AACUGAACAGCAGAUUAGUCAAAGUUGCAUUAGAAGAGGAGUAUAAAUCUCUCUUGAAGACCAGCUGAGGUGUUGUGUUGCUGUUGUUUUAAGGAAUUGAUCCUCAUGAUGCAAAGAAGAGUUCUGGACCUUCAAAAGAGUCAGUAAGGAUUCAAGCAGGAGAAGGCAGAAACAGCAGGGCAGAGCCUUCCAAAGCCCAUCCUCUGCCCAAGAAGGAGCCAGAGAUGGGCCCCUAAGGGACUGAAAGGAAGGUGCCUAUCUCGUGGACCUUGAGCUUUAAAUACAGGGCUUCCGUGUGACAUUUCAAUUUGAAGAAAGGAUUCUAUGGCUAAAAUGGUCUGGAAAAACAUUGUUUCCCACAGAAUUCCCAUGGAACACAUGGAUUGCCACAACCCCAUUGGAAGCAUUUUUCCUUCUGUCAUCAGUAUUACGCUCUGCGGAGAGCUUCCAGCCUGACAGAGGACAGGUUUUGCAGGUUGCCGAGGAGCUAGAUUGAUUUUAGAGAGCCUGGAAUGCCACGUGGAGUUUGGACUUGAUGUUGAGAUUUUAAACAAUCCCAUGCUGUUGAUGACCCCAUGUUAGAUUUACCUUGCCAUGCAAAAAAGAGAAACAUUCCACACUUCCCCAUCCUGUGACCUUUCUCACUUGAAGCUCCAGCAACUUGCAAAAUCUGUCAUCUGUCCUGGGCUGCAAGAGGCCCUGACUUUGCCUGUGGCCCCUGGGAGUCCAGAUGUUUUCACUGCAGGGAAAGGAGCUCAUUUGAAAAAAAAAUCCAGUUGUUUGUAAUGUGAUGCAAUUUUCUCUUGAAACCAAUUAGUGUCUCCUAAUUCCUCUGCAUACAAUUGCUUUCAA